rnacentral:rRNA from 1 species
UACGUAGUCAGCAAGCGUUGUUCGGAAUUACUGGGCGUAAAGAGUGUGUAGGCGGUGCUCUAAGUCUGUUGUGAAAUCUCCCGGCUUAACCGGGAGGGUGCGGCGGAAACUGGAGUGCUUGAGGGUGGGAGAGGUAAGCGGAAUUCCUGGUGUAGCGGUGAAAUGCGUAGAUAUCAGGAGGAACACCUGUGGUGUAGACAGCUUACUGGACCACUUCUGACGCUGAGACACGAAAGCGUGGGUAGCAAACAGG